GGCUGGUUUAUUAUUUUAUGAUAUAUAUUACAUUAAAACUAUACUAAAAGAAUAGAAGAAAGGCUUUCAUCAGAAGGCUGGCUAAGAAUAGAAAAGGAAUGAUAACAAAGAUUUGUGGCUCAGAGAGAGAGCCGAGCUAUCUGUGCUGUGAUUGGCCAUUAAUUAGAAACAACCACAUGAGGCCAAUCACAGAUGCACCUGUUGCAUUCCACAGCAGCAGAUAAUCAAUGUUUACAUUUGGUUCCUGAGGUCUCUCAGCUUCCCAGGAAGAAAAAAUCCUAAGGAAAGGAUUUUCCAUAAAAGACGUCUGUGACAAUUACCUUGUUAUCACUUUCUGGUACCUCACAGCCAUAUCACAAACACCUCCCAAGGGAUUUGCAGUCAUUCCUGAGCAGGAUUGACCUCCCUCCAUCCCACAAACCUGCCCCUCCACCAAAGAGGAAACAGGACAUGAAAAGCCACCUGACUCCAGAAGACAUCCAGGUUGUUCACUUGGACAACAUGAAACACGAGGAGGAGAUCCAGAAGUUCCCUCUGCAGCCUCCCUACUACGACAUGGCAGCCCCCGAGCCCUCUCCCUACAGUGACAAGCUGGUAAGGAGCACAGGGUGACAGUGGCACUGCCUGGCACCUCAGCCCAGCCUCACCUGGCACCCAGGC
rnacentral:lncRNA from 1 species